rnacentral:lncRNA from 1 species
CGACUCCGCUCCUCCCUCCCCGCAUGCACCUAGCACCUCGUUGAGUGAGGAGUUCUUGGUGUUCACCUUCUACAAGCUGGUGCCCUUCGACGACCCCCGCGCACACCUCCACUUCGUGCAGGUCGGUCCACUUCUCCAUCGGGCCAUUUAGUUUCAGUUCAGUUCACCAUAUUUGGGAUAUAUGAUGAAGGGCUGGAUUUUUUGUACACAUUACAUCUCUUCUAUACCAGGUUAGGAAGAUUACUUGGAUGCUUUUCAGGCUUCUCCAGCAUUAACCGGGCAUGCUCUCCAGUACAAACAAUGACUUAUUCAGGUACGUUUAGUUCAGUACCUUCAUACAUUUCAGAGUUGUUGAUAUUAACACAACAACUUGUUAGAAUUCGGUACCUUCAGGUUUGUGUCAAAGUUGUUGUGGAUCGAUUCAGUACCUUCACAAAUUUAGAGCUGUUGAUAUGGGUGGGGUACUAGUUUCAAACAAGAUCACAGCAAAAUGAUAAUGACAAUUUAACAGAAUCACGGAAACUUGUUUGAAACUGGUACUGCAAAAUCAAAUUCUAGUGAACCUUGACUGAAUCAUGCACACACAGAAACGAGUGAAAUUUGAUAGUCAAAUUUAACUUGUUAUUCUGGGCGAAACUUGACUAAAUCACAAUGUUUACUACAAAAUCAAAUUAUAGUGAAACUUGAAUGAAUCAUUCAAUGACAAUGACAAUGAUAUAGGUGAAACUUGACUGAAUCAUGCAAACACAUUCAGUAAUUGACUUGUUCUCAUCUAACUUUAAUUGCAAAAUGACAAUACUAGCGAAACUCAAAAAACCUUUAUUUGUUUGCUGGUUCAGUUAGCCAGCAGAAACUUUAUUUUCUGAAACCACAAUCACAAUGAUAAUUCUUGUGGUUGUUCUCAUCUCACUACCAAUCAAUUCUUGUACCGAAACUACAAUGACAUUUUGGUUCUGAAGAACCUAUAUUUAAUGGUUCUGAAUAACCUCUGCUGGCUAUAUAUGUCCAGUAGGAUGUACUCUUGCAAGCCACAACCAACUCUGGUUGUUUCAUCUGACAAUGACAAUUCUCGUUGUUCUCAUGCCACCGUUUCUGAAGUAGGGAAAUUACUGGAGUAGCUGGCAUCAGUUGAUCAAUUUCAUCAGAGGUCAUGUUCAGCUGCAGAAACUGUGUUUGGCACACAUCGGAGGUCAUGUACUGCAUAUGAUCAAAUUAGAGAACAAGCAAGGAGUAUCAUCC